UCUUGAGUCCCCCGGUCCCAUCUUUCUCUUCAGUCUGUGUCUGUGUCUUCUUCAAGCUUGCGGCACCCGUCACCUCGAGUCGCCGAGCUGGUCUCGGCAAGCAGAGAGGAAUAUUAACAAAAAUAUGAAUAGUGAUUUCUUUAAGCGAUGGGAUUUGGGGCACCCGUCCACUGCUUGAGGCCAAACAUCAGGGCACAUUCCUCACCGAUUUUCAACUCUAUCCUACACACCUGCUGCUUCUGCCGUCUUUGUAACUGAGGGACACCAGGCACAGGAGAAGAUGGAAAUACCAUAAUGGAAACAGGAUAAUUAAGCACGAGUUUAUGAACUGUUUAGUUUCUGAGAUAUUUAGACCACAAGUCCUCUUCCCUCACCUGGCUCAUUCAGCUUCCAGACCCUGGCAGGCAGAAAUGUACCUUCCACGCAGGAGACUGAAAGAACUUCUUUAAGGUUUCUGACCAGUCCAAGAGAGAAAACUUGAAGAUGUAACAUUGAGAGUUCCUCAAGGAAAUAAGCCAGCCAGAUCACCCUUGAAUUGUGGGGCAAAGAGACAACCCUCCAAAUGUCUGGAAUGGAUCAAGGAACAUUUUUACAAAAGCUCAAGAGUCAGAAAGAUACUGAACUUCUUAAAAUGAACUUCUGGAAGCCGGAAGGUAAUGCCUUCAAAUACUAUAGACCUCUGUUUGCCUUCUCCAGAGAAUGGACAACCAAGCAUAGCUGGGAAGGGCAGUCAACCAGGUUAGGUAGGGGAUCAGAGACCCAUCCUCCUGCUUUCAUUUCUACCUUCUGAAGUACCUGCUGCCUCCAAUUCAGAGGCUUUUAGGGGUGCUGUGAUAUAAGUUUUCGCUGCUGCUGGGUAAAACUUUAUUUUAGCUUUUUCAAGACUGCCAAAUUAUCACCAUUUGCUUCUCAGCUUUCAAAACUGUCACUAUUGACUCCUCCUCCCUCCAUCUCUUUUUCCCUCCUUGUAGGCAGAGUGAAGAGCUAAAUCCUUAUCUUGUAUAUUGGGAGGUCAAAUGAUAACACCGAAAAUGAACAUUCAAGAGAUGGCAUUAACACGUUACUCAGACAUAUGGAAGUAAAUAUCAUAAGGAUCAUCUAAAAUAAAAUGGUUGGUUCCCAGGAACAGGAAAUUAUGGAGUACUGAGAUAGAUGCUGUAACAAGACCUGUAGAACUAUUUGACUUUUCAAACUACAUCAUGCACACUUGAGAUGAAAAUUAAAACUUUAAAAGUAGGCAAAACUCUAUUGUAUAAAACAAACAAAAAACUGUUGUACAGAACAGGGAAUUAUAGACAUUGUUUUGUAAUAACUUUUAAUGGAGUAUAAUCUAUAAAAAUACUGAAUCACUGUGCUGUAC